UUUCCGUAGGUGAACCUGCGGAAGGAUCAUUAUCAAGUAUCGACUGGGCUGUCGCUGUCCUCACGCGGCAUGCGCACGGCCUGCUCUUCCACUCUACUCCUGUGAUCUUACUGUGUGUAUCAGAUUGUGACGCGUGCUUUUUUACCGUAGCCUGUGAAGCGUGUCUGUCCCUGCGUUCAUCACAAACACUAUAAAGUAUCAGUAUGUGUAUUACGAUGUAACGCAACUAAACCAAACUUUCAGCACCGGCUCUCUUGGCUCUCACAUCGAUGACGAACC
rnacentral:misc_RNA from 1 species